GUGUUGUAUGAAAGGAGAGACGGUUAGCACUCCCCUAGACAAGGAUGGAACACAUAUAAGGUUGAGGCACCGCUGAGUUAUCAGCGCUUGACCCAUUUUA
rnacentral:ncRNA from 1 species